CGAUCAUAGACAUCAUCUCCUUUUGUAUGUGCAGAAACGAUUUAUACUCAGAUGCGCUUCUUUCAUAACUACUGAUUAUUGGAAGGGAAAACCAUGACUGACCAACCACCUCAAAACCCAACUCUUUGAACUAAACAAUGGAACCAUUCUUGUUCACCUCACUAACUAUGGCGCCACCAUUACUUCCCUCUUCGUUCCUGACAAACAAGGUUCUUUCUUGUCUCUCAGUAUCUUUAUGUCUAGCAAGCUAUUACUUUUUUUCCUUAAUUUUGUUGUGAUUUGUUGGAGGAAAGGAUAAUUUGUUUUUUCCCGGUUUAUGGAUUAUUCUGUAGGCAAUCUUGAUGAUAUUUUUCUUGGGUUUGACUCUGUGGAAGCAAAUAUGGUCAGUUUUUAGUCAAGCAAAAACCUGUUCUGUUUGGUUUCUGAGAAAAUCGGGUUUCCUGUUCUCUAAUGACAUAUAUUGUGGUGAUUUAUGUUUUUGGGAAUUUCAAAGAUACGACUGAAAUUUCAUUUAUCUUGUCAAAAUUGAAGAUUUCUAACCGUAAUUGUUUUGAUCAGAAAGGAAAUCCACCUUAUUUUGGUUGCAUUUUGGGUCGGCUUGCAAACAGAAUCAAGGAGGGGAAGUUCUCCCUCAAUGGGAUCGAUUACUCUUUGGCUGUAAACAAUGGGCCAAACAAUCUCCAUGUAUGGUAAAGUUAAAAUUCUGACUCAUUUCAUAAAUCUAUAGAUCAACCAAAUGUUUGUGUGUGUUAAUCACUUUUUCUCUUCAUUAAGAUUUAAGAUUUGUAGCUUUAUUGAAUUUCAAACUAUUGCCUGUGAGGGUUUGGUGAAUACAAGAAAUUGGAUCCGGCAGCUUCGUAGGUUCUGCAACUAAGAUAGUUCAGUCCUUAGGUGGUUCAGGCCUUGAUUUUUAAAGCAAUUCAAUAUGAUUAAUAACUUCUCAGGAUUGCUCUUCAGGUGUAAUAAGGGAUUUGACAAAAGUUGUGUGAGAUGUUGUGGAAGAAAAAGUGGAGAACAACCAUAUAUUACCUUCAACUAUGAAAGUCAUGAUGGGGAGGAAGGUGUUAUUAAUUGUCUUGCUUUUACUUGCAUUUUUAUCACAGAGCAACUAAUUAUGCAAUUGUUCCUGAAACCAGGAUAUCCUGGAGGAGUUACUGUAACUGCCACUUGUACACUAAUUUCAAGUAAUUCAUUGCGGUUGGAUGUGGAAGCGGUGCCCAAAAGUUAGUCUACUCCAGUCAACUUAGCAUAGCACACCUAUUGGAAUUUAGCAGGCCACAA
rnacentral:misc_RNA from 1 species